GCUGUGUUUUACCAGUUUGAGCUUCUUUGAUCAAAUAGGCUCAUUCUUCUCAGAAGUUAGUAGAGGGUUUAGAUGCAUUUAACACACAAUAGGUAUACUUAACAAAAAAGACUAGCUGCCUAUUCUGGUGUAGUUGAGUCCUUUUUUUUUAUGUAGUCAGACAUUCCUCUUUCUCCUUCCGGUUCUAAGUGUGUCUGUAGGCUUCAAACCUUCAUCUGAGCACUGUAGGAGGUGGUAGGAACAGCCAGAGUUCAUGUGGGAAAAGGAUAAGAGUUGUAUUUUCAAAACUGCCCAGAAGCAAAAGGGGUUUUAUUAGUUGUAAGCAGCAUAACAAAUUAUUUCUGUCAGCUUAGCAGCCUCUAGUUACAAUGUCACAGUGAGCUGCACUAUUCUAACCUGUGUUGAGCAUGAAGAUGUACAUUAGAAGGAUUGAUGUUAAGCACUUGAAGGAGGGUUUAUAUGAGUAUUUUUAGACUUCCAUGUGUUCUCUGGCAUCUAUUUGACAAGGGCUUAAGACCCCUUCAUUUAAAUAGUUGUAAACUUUAUUGGAGAGAGAACUGAUUGUUGUUCUGUAGAUCAGUAGUAUUAUUAAGAUAAUGAUGCAAAAUGUGAUCACUUAUGUCUUGGAGAAGAAAUACAUGAAUGUCUUGGCUGCAUUUGUUCAAACCUCUGAACCUCAUGCUGUGUGUUGCAAUCAGAUUAACCGAAAAACUAAAACCAAACAGCACACAACAGAUAAAACUGAUAGCAAUAUUUGCCACAUGCUGAGGUCAAAGAGGUGUAAAAACUGACAUAUCGAUGGCUUCAUUGCAUAAAAAAACUACUAAACAUUAUCCAUUUAGAGGAGAGAUCAAUAUGAAAAGCACCAGCUAAUGGGGUCUACCUGUGGUGCAAUCACCAUGAAGCGUAUGUCCAUCCUGUUAAUCUAUAAGGCUUCUGUAAAACUAUUUUUUCAGAUCAGAGGUUAAAGCUAGAAAAAUCUGAAUUUCAGAAAACAGCUGUGAGCAUUCAUGAGACUCAUUGACUCUAAUAUUUUCUAGGAACUCCGUUAUUUAUUGGAAGAAUUUGCCAAGAAGUUGCCAUCUAGUUAACCUGAAUACCAAACAUAGGAGACUCUGAUUUGCAGUAGAAUUGUUUGGAUUAAGGUGACACACAGCUCUAGGAAGUUGUGAGGCUGUUACACAUAUGCCCUUUAAGUUGGCCAUUGCAAGUCAUACUGGAAUACAGCAGCACUGUGAAAGCAUUAUGAUGGUGUAAAGCAACCAUUCAUCUUUAGAUCACAAACACCACAGCCUCCAUUGCACCACCAGCUGUCUCGGCAGUGUGAAAAAUAUCACUGGAAAAUCAAGAAAGAUUAUCAAAAGGCAGCACUGGCACUGGAAAGCAAGUCUUUCUGCAGGCUGGUGAGGACAAGUGGUCAUAGCCCAGCUGAGUCCAUUGGGGAUCCUUCCACAUAGCAUUUGCAGGCAUCAAACUGAAAUGCAGCAGUAGGAGCAACCAAAGAGCUUCAGGUUUUUAUCACUGUCGUGAUGGGAAUGGAUCUAGGUGCAUGGUCUGGCGUGCUAAAGAAGGAGAAAGAGCAAGUUAAAUCUUGGUGACAGUGUCCAGAGUAUUCAAACUAGAGCACUUCUGUACCCCUUCUCCAGCCUCAUCAUUUCUGCAGUCUGUGAUCCAGCCACACUCCCUCAGCUGCUAUCAUAAUCAUCAUUCCCCCCCAGAUGCCCUAACUUCCCACUGCACCCUGCUGGUUCUGCUGCCCCUGUUGUCUCUCAGUCCAAAGAGUCUCUGAACAAGAGACAUACUUUUGUGGAGCCUGGCAAAGCUUCAGAAGGGAAGAGGAAAGAAAUCAAUACUGCUUCAAAGCGAAGUCUUUGCUUCAGUGAAUAUGACAUUUGCCCUUUCUUCACUAGUGGGAAAAACAACAAGGACACUUACACCAGCAAUGGAAAUAGAAUGAACAACAGAGAGACCUUCCAGGUUUCACUUGUAAAGGAAAAUAACUUUAUAGUCAUUGUCCCUAUUUGGUGACAUCAAAAGCAGGUGUAGAGUGUUAGGAGGUGCAGUGUGGGAAUGAAGUAAAAAGUAACACAAAGUCAAAGAGAAGAGCUGAAGGAAUUUGGAACAAGUGAUAAUGGACUCUGCUGAAGAAAUGGGAAAUGAAGGACACUACACAAAGGUCAGGUCCAUUGCUGUGCAAUCAAAUCGACUAAAAAAUGUCACCUGCAAAGGUGGGCCAUAAUAUUAAAAGACCUUCCAGCAAGUUUUACACCAUUUUGACAGCUUUGCAGCAACUGAAAAUGGCAGCAGAACAUCACACUUUGCUAAUGAACAACUUCUCAGUAGGGUGGAAGCAGGUCAGAAAUUUUCUGACAGAAGCUUAAAAUACCAGUCAAGGAAAUUAAUGUUACUGCAAAAUCAAAACAACUUUGAAAGUCCCUCACUGAUGUUUUUGGAGGAUUUACAAAAAUGUAAAAAGAAUGUAAAGCUUACAAGCCUGCUUCAAUUAUUUUUCAUAAUCAAGUUUUUGUUUAUUUCAUAUUCAUUUACUUUUGACUUUUUUCUUGUUUGUUUCCAGUUCCUUUUGUUGCAGAACUAGAUGCUUGUUCCAAGUUCUUAAUUUCAUUCUGUUUUGACUAUGCCACUUCUUAGGUACUUUUCCAAGUUGUUUUGUUUUGCUGUUUCUACUUUUGUGUCAUUCUUCACAUACAUCUUUGUGGACCUCUUCCUUUUUGAAUAACAUUCAUUGUUUCAAUAGGCUCUGUGUAAUUGUUUGAAAAUAGUCUUUUGCAAAUAAAGUAUUUUCAUUACGUGAAGCUGUGUCUUCGGUUGCAGCUGCCACUACUUUUCUUGUUGUUUCUGGCCUGUGCAGUGUAUAAUUUGCAGGAUCUAGCUUUCCCUGCUGAGAGGGGAUCCUGGGUCAGCUGCUGUUGUUGCAGUCAUGUAAUGGAGCAGACUUCAUCCUUGGUGAAUCAAAUAGCAUGAUUUCUCAGGAGCACACUCGUAGAGUAUCAGGACAGUCAUGUACUCAUACUCUGACCCCUGUACUUGUGCUGGGUGAGAGUUCUGCAGCUACAAGAAUCAAUAAAAAUGUAUUGAUUUCUCUACACCAACAUAAAGCUUGUCUGCUCUUAUCUCCAGUUUGCAAGCAGAAAAAGGAGACUGUAAAACUACAAUUGUCUUAUGCUUUCUCUCCUUUUUCCUCCCCAUUCCAUGGUUCUCACAGGUGACCAAGAUCUGUUUCUGACAAAGCCACUUGGCCAGGGAGCCAUAGCCCUGCUCGCUGUAUCACAGCACCCUACUCUUUUAACACUUAGGCUGUGAAAAUAGCUGCUUUUGAAAUUUUGUAAGUAAGGAGAAGUGCAGGGGGGAUUGCCCCUAAGGCUAAAGUUGAGUGACUUCUCUGGGCCUUAACUCAUCCCUCUACAUGCAAGCAAUGGUAGUCAAGGAAAUGUAAUAUCAGUGAAGAACUCAGUGCAUCUCUGGAUAUUCCAGAUUAACAUAAAGUUGAUUUUUGGGGGUCAUUUCAGCUCCCUUUGCAACUCUUUGAUGUUUCCUAUGCUAGGAAGAGGGUAGGUAGCUAUCAUUCAUCUGAAGAAAAUGGGAAUAUCCUCCACUGUUAAAAACAGUUUCGGUGGCAAAUAUGAAGCCAAGACAGGGUAGAGCAGUAUUUUCAGUAAUGCUUAAUUUCACAGAAACUGUCACUGAAAGCCAUACCUGUCAAAAGGUGAGUGGGGAGAUGUCUGCUUCUGCUGCUCAGACUACUUGGGAAGCUUGGCUUCAGGCUUCUGGAUGCAGCUGUUUGUCAUCUGUACAGUCAGUCUUGGUUAAACAUCAGAGUCCUGACAGAACACAUGGAAUGCAGUCAUAGAGCAGCCAGAUUGGAAAAUAUUUACCCAGAAGACAGAACGCAAGCCCCCUGCAAACUGCAGAAUACACAUUGAUGAUUUCCAUUAUUUCAUCAGCUGGGUCAGCAUUAUCACUAAACAAUCAUGAGUGUUACAGAACAAACAAAAAAAUGA